rnacentral:rRNA from 1 species
CCUACGGGAGGCAGCAGUGGGGAAUAUUGGACAAUGGGGGCAACCCUGAUCCAGCAAUGCCGCGUGAGUGAUGAAGGCCUUAGGGUUGUAAAGCUCUUUUACCAGGGAUGAUAAUGACAGUACCUGGAGAAUAAGCUCCGGCUAACUCCGUGCCAGCAGCCGCGGUAAUACGGAGGGAGCUAGCGUUGUUCGGAAUUACUGGGCGUAAAGCGCACGUAGGCGGUUACUCAAGUCAGAGGUGAAAGCCCGGGGCUCAACCCCGGAACUGCCUUUGAAACUAGGUAACUAGAAUCCUGGAGAGGUGAGUGGAAUUCCGAGUGUAGAGGUGAAAUUCGUAGAUAUUCGGAAGAACACCAGUGGCGAAGGCGGCUCACUGGACAGGUAUUGACGCUGAGGUACGAAAGCGUGGGGAGCAAACAGGAUUAGAUACCCUGGUAGUCCACGCCGUAAACGAUGAUAACUAGCUGUCCGGGCACAUGGUGUUUGGGUGGCGCAGCUAACGCAUUAAGUUAUCCGCCUGGGGAGUACGGUCGCAAGAUUAAAACUCAAAAUGAAUUGACGG